rnacentral:rRNA from 1 species
GAUGAACGCUCGCGAUAGGCUUAACACAUGCAAGUCGAGGGGCAGCACAAGGUAGCUUGCUAUCUGGGUGGCGACCGGCGCACGGGUGCGUAACGCGUAUGCAACUUGCCCUAUACAGGAGGAUAACCCGUCGAAAGACGGACUAAUACUGCGUAUGCUCACAACUUGGCAUCAAGUGGUGAGGAAAGAAAUUCGGUAUAGGAUAGGCAUGCGUCCCAUUAGCUUGUUGGUGAGGUAACGGCUCACCAAGGCAACGAUGGGUAGGGGAACUGAGAGGUUUAUCCCCCACACUGGUACUGAGACACGGACCAGACUCCUACGGGAGGCAGCAGUGAGGAAUAUUGGUCAAUGGGCGCGAGCCUGAACCAGCCAAGUCGCGUGAAGGAUGACUGUCUUAUGGAUUGUAAACUUCUUUUAUACGGGAAUAACAAGAGUCACGUGUGACUCCCUGCAUGUACCGUAUGAAUAAGCAUCGGCUAACACCGUG